GGCGCGAUGGUGUAGUUGGUUAUCACAUAUGCUUCACACGCAUGAGGUCCGCGGUUCGAGCCCGCGUCGCGUCA